UUCUAUAAUUACACUACCCUGAAUAUUCCCAAUCUCUCUGAUCUCAAAAGCUAAGUAGGGUCAAGCCUGGUUAGUACUUGUAUAAGUGGCCAAUUGGAAAUGUUGAGU
rnacentral:rRNA from 1 species